rnacentral:rRNA from 1 species
CCUACGGGUGGCAGCAGUGGGGAAUAUUGCACAAUGGGGGAAACCCUGAUGCAGCGACGCCGCGUGAGUGAUGAAGUAAUUCGUUACGUAACCCUCUAUCAGCAGGGAAGAAACACUGAGCUUACUGUCAACAGACCGUAGCUGAGUAACAAUCCCCCGCUCACUACGGGCCAGCAGACGCGGUAAUUAGUAGGGAGCAAGCGUUGUACGGAUUUACUGGGUGUAAAGGGAGCGUAGACGGUACGCCAAGUCUGAAGUGAAAUGCCGCAGCUUAACUGCGGAACUGCUUGGGAAACUGGCGAACUGGAGUGCGGGAGGGGUAAGCGGAAUUCCUAGUGUAGCGGUGAAAUGCGUAGAUAUUAGGAGGAACACCAGUGGCGAAGGCGGCUUACUGGACCGUAACUGACGUUGAGGCUCGAAAGCGUGGGGAGCAAACAGGAUUAGAUACCCUUGUAGUC